UACGAAGGGGGCUAGCGUUGUUCGGAAUUACUGGGCGUAAAGGGCGCGUAGGUGGCUUUGUAAGUCAGGAGUGAAAUCCCUGGGCUCAACCCAGGAAUUGCUUUUGAGACUACAUGGCUUGAGUACAGGAGAGGUGAGUGGAAUUCCCAGUGUAGAGGUAAAAUUCGUAGAUAUUGGGAGGAACACCAGUGGCGAAGGCGGCUCACUGGCCUGUAACUGACACUGAGGCGCGAAAGCGUGGGGAGCAAACAGG
rnacentral:rRNA from 1 species